rnacentral:rRNA from 1 species
AGUGAACGCUGGCGGUAGGCCUAACACAUGCAAGUCGAACGGCGGCACAGUAAGAGCUUGCUCUUACGGGUGGCGAGUGGCGGACGGGUGAGGAAUACAUCGGAAUCUACUUUUUCGUGGGGGAUAACCCAGGGAAACUUACGCUAAUACCGCAUACGACCUACGGGUGAAAGCAGGGGAUCUUCGGACCUUGCGCGAUUGAAUGAGCCGAUGUCGGAUUAGCUAGUUGGCGGGGUAAAGGCCCACCAAGGCGACGAUCCGUAGCUGGUCUGAGAGGAUGAUCAGGCACACUGGAACUGAGACACGGUCCAGACUCCUACGGGAGGCAGCAGUGGGGAAUAUUGGACAAUGGGCGCAAGCCUGAUCCAGCCAUACCGCGUGGGUGAAGAAGGCCUUCGGGUUGUAAAGCCCUUUUGUUGGGAAAGAAAAGCAGCAGGUUAAUACCCCGCUGUUCUGACGGUACCCAAAGAAUAAGCACCGGCUAACUUCGUG